rnacentral:tRNA from 13 species
UCUCCCGGCGGGGAAUCGAACCCCGGUCUCCGCGUGACAAGUGGGAUACUCACCAAUUAUACUACCGAGGG